CAUUUGCGUGAGGGAUAGCAGUGGAAAUCCUUUUAUGAAGUGUAGCGGAAUAAAAGAUUACAACGGAUAGCCCGACCUUUU
rnacentral:sRNA from 1 species